rnacentral:rRNA from 1 species
GAUGAACGCUGGCGGCGUGCCUAAUACAUGCAAGUCGAGCGAACAGACGAGGAGCUUGCUCCUCUGACGUUAGCGGCGGACGGGUGAGUAACACGUGGAUAACCUACCUAUAAGACUGGGAUAACUUCGGGAAACCGGAGCUAAUACCGGAUAAUAUAUUGAACCGCAUGGUUCAAUAGUGAAAGACGGUUUUGCUGUCACUUAUAGAUGGAUCCGCGCCGCAUUAGCUAGUUGGUAAGGUAACGGCUUACCAAGGCAACGAUGCGUAGCCGACGUGAGAGGGUGAUCGGCGACACUGGAACUGAGACACGGUCCAGACUCCUACGGGAGGCAGCAGUAGCGAAUCGUCCGCAAUGGGCGGAAGCCUGACGGAGCGACGCCGCGUGAGUGAUGAAGGUCUUCGGAUCGUAAAACUCUGUUAUUAGGGAAGAACAAAUGUGUAAGUAACUAUGCACGUCUUGACGGUACCUAAUCAGAAAGCCACGGCUAACUACGUG